UACGAAGGGGGCUAGCGUUGCUCGGAAUGACUGGGCGUAAAGGGCGCGUAGGCGGAUUGCUUUGUCGGGCGUGAAAUUCCAGGGCUUAACCUUGGGGCUGCGUUCGAGACGGGUGAUCUUGAGUUCGGAAGAGGGUCGUGGAAUUCCCAGUGUAGAGGUGAAAUUCGUAGAUAUUGGGAAGAACACCGGUGGCGAAGGCGGCGACCUGGUCCGAGACUGACGCUGGAGGCGACGAAGACGUGGGGAGCAAACAGG
rnacentral:rRNA from 1 species